rnacentral:lncRNA from 1 species
CCAUUACAAAAUACUGAAAGAAAAUAUUUUUUGUAGAUUAUAUAUCAAGAUUUGUUUAAUUUAUGUAAUUUAGAAACAAACCUCUAAACUAAUAUUUCUUAAACUUUAAUAAUUUAAGAAUUGUUUUAUAUCAAAAAAAAUCUUCAGAUUAUUUUUACUGGUUUCUUUCUUUACAAAUUUUUGCUCAUUUUUUUUUAAGUUUAUAAAAAUAAUUUUUGUUUUUACAAAAAUUUGUGAGAGAGCUUUAUGGAAAUUGGGUAACAUACAUGAGUUAUGAUGAUGGAAGUACAGGCAGAUACUCAAUCCUAAUUUAUAUAUAUUUUUAUUAUGUUAGAAUCAAAAUGAUCAAAAAUAAUAUUUGAUCUCAUUGAUAAUUAAUGUAACUAUUUAUAUUUAAAGUGAAAAUAUUUAUAAAAAAAUAUUUACAUGAUAUUAGAGAAAAACAUAAAAUCAAUUUUUAAAAAAUUUUUGUAAUAUUUCAAUGAAUAAUUGAUGCAAAAAUCUAUCUGUACCAGAAAUGAUCUUAUUAGUCGGACAAGUAUUAAAAAGUAUGGAGCUGAGUAGAAUAGGUUUGUGAAAAACCAAACGGGCACCAGUUUGAUCAAAUGCUGGAUUCAUAGGUGUCAAAAUUGAUUAUAAAUGAAAGACAAUGCAAAAUGUUUAAAAAGUGACUAAAAGAAAUAUUCACAAGUUUCUAUUGUGCUAUUGAACAAUAUGUAGGAAUAAUUUGAAUGAAUUCUUAACAUGAUGAAAAUAUGCCCUCAAAUCCCUAGACAAAGUAGUCAAAUACUGAUGGGCCUUCAGUAUUUAGACUACUUUGUCUAGGGACUAAGAUAGCCCUGUACCUAAUAUCAGAAGAUAACAUGGUUCCUAUUUUUCAUCUUUUGCUUGUGGCCCAUCAGUUAUACUGUGUUGCUGUGUCUGAGAACUAUAGUUCUAGAACACAUUUCAUCAAUGAUAAAGGUAAACUGCAUAGUCUAUAUAAUUUUAACAUUUCAUAAUUCAUUUUAUAAAUGAUUUGAAUGAAGCUAACAAAACAUAAUCUAAUGCAACUAUAAAUUAAUUAAAAUACAUGUAGUUAAAUAAUUUGAUGAUUGUUGUCAGAGUUUAAUCACUCAACUCUGACAGAUUUUAAUGUCUCUCUGCUUUAAUAAUAAUAGCUGGUUUAUAUUCCAACAUGGAGUCUGCUGCAUGGAGCUUGCAGAAUUCUGUUCAGUUGGCAUUAGCACAGGACUAUGAACUGUCACCGUUUUUAGCUGAUGUUUGAUGCUGAAUUCCUAUCAUUCAAAGUAUUGAGAUUGUACAAUGUUCUGUAUGUUGAAAAUGGACCCCAUAAUGAAAAAUACAUGAACUAUCUGAAGCACUAUGGUAGGGAAAUUCACAAAAAAAUAAUGAAAAAUAUUUCCAUUUUGCUGCUGUUUGAAUUAUUGUUAUUAAAUUCCAUUUUAUCUCAUAUUUUUUCCCAAC